CAUGUAUGGCUUCUGCAGGAGAUGAAGAGGGCGUCUGAGACUGGGGUGACUUGCAACAGGUAAAUCUAGAUGACCUGGAAGGGAAAGAAAUGUGAAGACAUCAGUGGCUACUCACCAUCUGAAAUGUGAGAACUCCGUGGAGAAAGACCAGAAGACUCACAUGCUUCGCCAUGCUGAGUGGCUGAAAGCACAAGGGAAACUUUUUUAUUCAUGUAAAUGAACACAACUGUGUGUAUACACAGAUGAUGUUUUGAUCAGUCUUUAUUUAACAGUGACCAUGUACCGUGAGCACAAGGUACUAGAGCAGGUGGGGUGUGAAAUCCUCACUUUGAAACACUUGCUAGCUGUGAGACCUGGGACAAAUUAUUUAACCUCUUUGUGCCUUAUUUUUCUCAUCUAUAAAACGGAGAUAAUAUUAAAAGCUAUUUCAAGGGUCAUUAUGAAAUUCAAAUGAGGAAGUUCGUAUGAUGCAUUUAAAAUAGUACAGGAACACGGCAGCCCUCUAUAUGUUUUUAGCUUUUAUUAUUAUUACCAUGCUCUGAGCUGGGCAGCAAACAGAGAGAUAGAUAAAUAAAAUAGAGGCCUGGCUGCGUAGAAUUUUUAGUCUGUUCAAGAGACGAAAUAAAAGGAGUGGAUUUCUGCCUCCAUUACUUACUGCUUUAUCCCUUGGGUUAGUUGCUCAGUCAUGUCUGACUCUUUGUGACCCUGUUAGGGGAAGCACCCGGACUGAAACCGUCCACCCUGGCCAGGCUCCCUAGUAACCAUUCACAUGAGUCAUUUUAUAACAGGAGGUCCUGGGAAGGAAUACGGAACUAAUAAACGAUGCGUGCGCCACCAGGAAGGAUGCUGAGUCAGAAUGAUUGGCCAAAGACAACCCGGAAACUAAUCCCAUCCCCAUAAAACCCGAGACUUCGAGCCACGUGGCUGAGCGGCUCUCCUGGGUUCCCUUACCCUCUUGCUCUCUGCCCCUGUGCCUUCUUCCAAUAAAGUCUCUUGUUUUGUCA